UACGUAGGGUGCAAGCGUUGUCCGGAAUUAUUGGGCGAAAGAGCUCGUAGGUGGCUUGUCGCGUCUGCCGUGAAAGCCCAUGGCUUAACCUGGGAAUGCAUCCGAUACUGGAUGGCUUGAAUUCGGGGAGAGGGAUGCAGAAUUCCAGGUGUAGCGGUGAAAUGCGUAGAUAUCUGGAGGAAUACCGGUGGCGAAGGCGGCAUCCUGGACCGACAUUGACGCUGAACGGCGAAAAGCUAGGGGGAGCAAACAGG
rnacentral:rRNA from 1 species